rnacentral:rRNA from 1 species
UACAGAGGCCUCGAGCGUUAGGCGGAAUCACUGGGCUUAAAGCGUGUGUAGGCGGACUUCUAAGUACCUCGUGAAAUCCCACGGCUCACCCGUGGAACUGCUUGGUAUACUGGUUGUCUUGAGCCUUCUAGGGGCGAGUGGAACAAAUGGUGGAGCGGUGAAAUGCGUAGAUAUCAUUUGGAACGCCAAUGGUGAAAACAACUCGCUGGGGAAGUGCUGACGCUGAGACACGAAAGCCAGGGGAGCGAACGGG